CGUUUGUUUGGUUUGGUUUCACACAGAGAAAAAUCCAAGCGAACCACAAUGCAUCACUACAAACCAGGCAAGAACGUUCACUCCCCUUAUUGGUCAGACGUGUCUGGGUUGGGA